CGCUGACUUAAACAUAUCAAA
rnacentral:rRNA from 1 species